rnacentral:rRNA from 1 species
CCUACGGGAGGCAGCAGUGAGGAAUAUUGGUCAAUGGGCGCAAGCCUGAACCAGCCAAGUCGCGUGAGGGAUGACGGUCCUAUGGAUUGUAAACCUCUUUUGUCGGGGAGCAAGGCCCGCCACGUGUGGCGGGAAGGAGAGUACCCGAAGAAAAAGCAUCGGCUAACUCCGUGCCAGCAGCCGCGGUAAUACGGAGGAUGCGAGCGUUAUCCGGAUUUAUUGGGUUAAAAGGGUGCGUAGGCGGAAGGUUAAGUAAGCGGUAAAAUGUCGGUGCUCAACACCGGCCUGCCGUUGAAACUGGUCUUCUUGAGUGAGGGAGAAGUAUGCGGAAUGCGUGGUGUAGCGGUGAAAUGCAUAGAUAUCACGCAGAACUCCGAUUGCGAAGGCAGCAUACCGGCGCUCAACUGACGCUGAGGCACGAAAGCGUGGGGAUCGAACAGGAUUAGAUACCCGAGUAGUC